CCCUUAGAUGUUCUGGGCUGCACACGUGCUACACUGGCAGGUUCAGCGAGCUUCAUGCCCUGAUCUGAAAGGAAUGGGAAAUCUUUUCAAAACCUGCCGUGCUUGGGAUAGAUGUUUGCAAUUAUUCAUCUUCAACGAGGAUUGCCUUGUAAGCGCACGUCAUCAGCGUGCAUUGAAUACGACCCUGUAUUCUGUACACACCGCCCGUCGCUCCUACCGAUUGUAGUUUUCGGUGAGUUGACAGGAGGAUUUUUUUGAAACUGGUUCGCCAGUGGAUUUUAGAUCCAAAUGCCAACGAAUCGAUGGCUUUAGAGGAAGGAGAAGUCGUAACA
rnacentral:rRNA from 1 species